rnacentral:rRNA from 1 species
AGUGAACGCUGGCGGUAGGCCUAACACAUGCAAGUCGAACGGCAGCACAGUAGAGCUUGCUCUUACGGGUGGCGAGUGGCGGACGGGUGAGGAAUACAUCGGGAUCUACUUUUUCGUGGGGGAUAACGUAGGGAAACUUACGCUAAUACCGCAUACGACCUACGGGGGAAAGCAGGGGAUCUUCGGACCUUGCGCGAUUGAAUGAGCCGAUGUCGGAUUAGCUAGUUGGCGGGGUAAAGGCCCACCAAGGCGACGAUCCGUAGCUGGUCUGAGAGGAUGAUCAGCCACACUGGAACUGAGACACGGUCCAGACUCCUACGGGAGGCAGCAGUGGGGAAUAUUGGACAAUGGGCGCAAGCCUGAUCCAGCCAUACCGCGUGGGUGAAGAAGGCCUUCGGGUUGUAAAGCCCUUUUGUUGGGAAAGAAAAGCAGCAGGUUAAUACCCCGCUGUUCUGACGGUACCCAAAGAAUAAGCACCGGCUAACUUCGUG